rnacentral:lncRNA from 1 species
UAUGUUAUUAUAUCUUGUCUUAUAAUGGGGUCUUAAUGUAAGUAUGGGGUUUCUAAGUACUGUUUAAGUGUUUAACAGAACCGAGUAAUCUCCGGUGAGGACGUUGGUCAGCCUGAAAGAAUAGGUCGUUAAGCUUAGGAGAAGCGCGUUAGACCUUGUUUGGUGGUCCCGUCACUGAGUAAAACACUUAGCUGUCUUUAGAGUAAUGCCAUUAAGACUUAUUAAUAUCCCAUAAGCCAUAGAUGUAUCAACAUAAUUGCAUUUAGUUAUUGCAUAUUGGAUUAGAGUAAUAUGUCUCUUUUGAAAUAGAUCAGCUCUGUUAGUCUCUAGACAGUUUUGUUUAAACCAUGAACAAUCAUGUCCAAAAUACUGUUAACCUUUCUUCCUCGGCAACUCCGAUUGCCACCAUUGAAACCGAUCUUCAAAACUGGAGUAUUCCAGAAGAAUCCUUCUCUACUAUUUAUCAAAUAGGAAAAUUUAGUUUUUUGAAAAAACAUAACAUCAAGACCUCUGAGUCUACUGUAGCUAUUAACAAUUCUUUAGAAAUUAUCCAAUUGUUCAAUGAACUAGAUAUAAACAGGUAUAAAAACCAGUUUAAUUAUCUGCAUGUUGGACUGGUUCAAGUUGCUAUUAAGCCACUAUUCCGACAAGGAUUAGACAUCCCUGUCUGUGCUCUUCUAAGAGAUGCUCGUCUUCUCAACUUUGACGAUUCUCUCUUAGGAGUUAUCCAGAGUAACCUAGCCGACGGCCCGGUAUACUUUAACUGCUACCCCAACUUCUCGGUAGAUAUAAACGAUCCUAACAUCAUGGACGUCUUGACGCUUAAUGUCAAAACGAAAAACAUGAAUAGUAAGGAUAAUACCCGAGAAAUAGCGAUCAUAUACCGAGUAUACUAUCGCCUCAUGGGUACUACCCUAGCUCCAAAAGCUAGAUUCACGAGCCCAAAAGGGGUUACCACCCUCAUGGAAGCUAACAAAGACCGUAGCACAGUCUUUGUUCCCAAGGCUCUAGUAUGGGAUGAGAUCCUUCACAGUAAUGACUGGCACUUUGAAGCCGUCACCCAACCUGUUCGACGUUACUCAGAACGAUCUCAGAUCGAACGAGUAAUUCAACAUCCAGAUGGAUCUAUAGAUCUGAAAUUUUUAGGAGUCGAUCCCUCUCGACUCUCAUCUUCACGGCGGUCCGUCUCCUGUGCCUCUUCCUCUAAAAAGGAACAAGAGUCCGACGAACACGACGGCCCCGACGACAAGGGAAAGAUUAGAGGAGUUGAUUACUCUGGUCCGAUCCUGAAAGUCUAUUAUCAAACAACUAAGGUCAAGGAACCUAAAAAUCUCUACGAACCAGGAAGCCCUUCGGCUUCAGAAAUGGCUCCUCCACAACCUAGGCGCGACCCUAGCCUUUUCGUUAUUCGAGCAGAUAACGAAGACUAUGUCCCGGAUCUUCAGGCCUUAAAGGUCCGAUGGAAUAAUCCGAGAGACACCCUCAAAAGGAGAUGGUACAUAAAUACCUAUUCUCCCGAACAGCAAAAGGAGUUUGGUCGACUAUGGAUAGCCGACAUGAAACGACUCCGUUGCGAUAUGGAAUUCUUCUUCUGGCUAGAAAAAACUGGAAGAAUAGAAAACCAAACAGAAUCGCUCAACGCUAUCGUUACCAAAUGGUACACCCAGCGGAAUACCGUAAUUGAAUCUACUACUCCUCCUCUGGAAGGACUUAACAUCCCUUACGCUAACGAAGUCAUCAAGGCUUCUCCAUUCAAAACUAAAUACGAAAGAGGUACCAUGACACCUCAAUGCAAGGAUCUUGAUAGAAUAAUUGAACAAAACAAUUAUACAAAUCAAGCUCUUCAUACCAUAUCCCAGCAAAUAGAGGACGUCAAGAGUCCUCCUCUUUCCGCCCCGUUACCACCUAAGAGCACUCCACGCCCUAAACCUCUUUCAAACCCUAUCUUCAAACUCCCGGAGUUUCACAAAGAUAAAUUCCCAGAUCUGAAUGAUGAUUUUAAAUUGUCUGAACAAAUCUUAGAAAAAAUCAAUACCAAGCUUACCAAGUUCAAAAUCUCGCAAGAGCCCUCUAGCUCUAAGGAUUCCUCCGGUUCUAAGGAAAAGAACUCUCUCUCGAAACUUUCUAGUGAUCGAUUUUCCACGAGAAAAAAUUUCUAUCGCAAACCUUCUCCCCCGGACGUCCAGUUCGAAGAAAAUCCUUACCUAUCCACAUGUAAUCAUGAUGGACGAGGUAUCACAGAAUGGAAUAUUGACGGUCUGGCUGAGCAUCAGAUCUACAAUAAGCUCCAUGAAAUUGAUGUGGCCAUCACGGCCUAUAAAAUCAAAGGUUCCUCUGACAAAGGAGCCGCCACCAUGGUAGUCUCGGGUUUCACCAGUAUGCUCAAACAUUGGUGGGACAACUACGUCUCCGAAGACGAAAAAAGUCUCAUUUAUAACGCCACCACCCUAGAACCAGUGGCUAGAACUGUCAAUGGUCAAGAAACUAUAGUUCAAGAAGCACAAGAAGACGCCUGUGCAACGCUUCUCUAUCACAUAGCUAGACACUUUGUAGGAGAACCAAAACUCUUUCAAGAUAGAAGUCUAGAAAUCCUCAACAAUCUUCGGUGCAAAAACCUUGCUGACUUUAGAUGGUAUAAAGAUACCUUCCUUAUUAAAGUCAUGAUUCGCCCUGACUGCAAUAAUGAUUUCUGGAAAGAAAGAUUUAUUAGCGGUCUUCCACCAUUAUUCGCGGACAAAGUCCGGACAAAACUCAAGGACCGGUUUGAGGGCCAAAUCCCUUAUAAUAUUCUUACCUACGGUGAUUUAGUAAGCUUCAUCACUACCACCGGUAUCGAACUCUGUACAGACCUCAAGCUGAAACAACAGCUUAAGCAAAACCAUAAAUAUGGAUUGACAACCUUUUGCCAGGAUUAUGGCUUUACCGACUUAGAUGAAGGCAGGAGGCAUAAAAUAAUCCCUCCAAAGCGUCAUAAAAAGUCCUACCCAAAACGAAAAACUUCGUAUAAGGAGUCAAGCUCCUAUAAAGAAUCCAGCAAACCACAUCGUAAAACCAGACGCAAGUAUUCCUCAAAAUCCAAAGAUACCUGCUGGACUUGUGGAAAAUCUGGCCAUAGAGCUAAAGAUUGCACAUCAAGUAAAAGGAAGAAGAUAAAUCUUCUCGACUUACCUGAUGAAGCAAAAGAAAAGCUCUUCUCCAUAAUGGAAGACCCUUCUGAAGCAUCAGACUCUUACUCCUCUUCAGAAGAAGACUAUAGCGACGAAGAUUAUAUCAACGCCGCUUAUGAGUCCGAUAACUCCCAAUCGGGACAAGACUGCGAGUGCAAUGGCACUUUCUGUGUUUGCUCCCGUAAAACCAUCAAUGUCAUUACAGACAAGCCUAAAGAAAUCCUGUUCGAUAUCAUUGAACAUAUCGAUGACGACGAGCUUCGGAGUAAGUACCUCCAAGAGCUCAAACGUUUGGUGCUUUCUUCUGAGGAAGGCACUUCUAAACCAAAACCUAUUGUUCAGCCUUUCUCCAUGACAAGAGUAAUGGCUAAGUUCAAUCCUCCCUCUGAGCCCUCUAUUGCCGAGCUCAAAGGAGAAAUCUCCUCGUUAAAAGGAGAAAUCAAAAACCUGAAAACCCGACUUGAUCAGGUUGAACUACACGUUUAAACACACGAUCCUCUCUAUCUGGUAUCAGAGCCAUGUUGGCAGAUUGUUUGUUUAGCAUGAGCAGCUAAACAAAUAAUCUGUCUAGAGCAUGAGCUAAAUUAUUUUAAAUGAACAUAUUAUUUUAAUCGGUAUGCUUUACCUACAUGUUUAAUUAUGUUAUUAUAUCUUGUCUUAUAAUGGGGUCUUAAUGUAAGUAUGGGGUUUCUAAGUACUGUUUAAGUGUUUAACAGAACCGAGUAAUCUCCGGUGAGGACGUUGGUCAGCCUGAAAGAAUAGGUCGUUAAGCUUAGGAGAAGCGCGUUAGACCUUGUUUGGUGGUCCCGUCACUGAGUAAAACACUUAGCUGUCUUUAGAGUAAUGCCAUUAAGACUUAUUAAUAUCCCAUAAGCCAUAGAUGUAUCAACAUAAUUGC